UUUCUCUCUCCCCUUACAAUUAUUAUUAUUUAUUUUGUUUGAAUUAUUAAACUGUUCUUAUCUCAAUCCACAAGAUUUAUCUUUUCUUUCUAUUUCUUCUUCCCACUAGAUGGGGUUAAACCAUGACACCAAUGUUUUCAACUGGGAAUGCAGUGGAAGUCUCGAGUAUCUUCCAUGAACUAAAAAAAUACAAUGCACAACUAAUAUAAAGUAAUGGCUAAGAUCUGCAGUGAAGAAGGUGGUAGUUCUCUGUGAAAAUCCUGUCUUGGGCCAGUUUACCAACAAGAGCCUCCUCUCCUACAGGAGCCACAGGGAGAGAUUCUACAAUGGCACAUUUACACAAACCAAAACCCAAAAGUGGAAUUGAGUAGUUUGUGCCAUAUCUGCACAACGUUCGCCAUCCUUCACCUGUUCUGCUGUGCUGAAAUUCAUCCAUCAUCAAGGCCUCUGCUCCUGUCUCAAGGAUGAGCAGCUGAGAACAAGACACUGAUGACUGAAGCUGCAGGUAGCAGAGGCUUGGAGUAAUGAGCCUCUGCCGAAAGGCUCUUCAGAACCUGCUCUGACAAUGUGUGUGUGUGUUUUUUUGGAAGGGGUGAGGAUGCCAGAGUACAGAGAGAGAACAAAAGUACAGAUAAGAGUUGUCCUAUAUCCAAGGUCAAAUGUUUUCAAAACCCUAAAAUAAACAAGGGCCAUCCUGUAUUUGUGAUCUUAUUUGGCAAUAAAAGCAACAUUUAUUUAGUU